rnacentral:misc_RNA from 1 species
CUGAAGUGAUUUGGGGAUGUUGCUGGCCUCUUCUCAGGGGCAAAUGUGCACUCCCUGAACAAUUCACAAUUUCCAUCACACCCUUGUGCACAUCUUGUAGGCAUCCCCUCCUCUCCAAGGCUUGGGGUUGUUCUAUGUAUUCUUUCAUCUCACACUUUUUUGAAUGGUGCUCUUGAAUGCAUCUUAUGGAUUAUUUGUAAAAAAAGUAAUCACAGAAA